rnacentral:rRNA from 1 species
AAUAUUGCGCAAUGGGGGAAACCCUGACGCAGCAACGCCGCGUGGGUGAAGAAGGCCUUCGGGUUGUAAAGCUCUGUCUUCUGGGACGAUAAGGACGGUACCAGAGGAGGAAGCCACGGCUAACUACGUGCCAGCAGCCGCGGUAAUACGUAGGUGGAAAGCGUUGUCCGGAUUUACUGGGCGUAAAGGGAGCGUAGGCGGAUAUUUAAGUAAGAUGUGAAAUACCCGAGCUUAACUUGGGUGCUGCAUUUGAAACUGGAUAUCUGGAGUGCAGGAGAGGAAAGUGGAAUUCCUAGUGUAGCGGUGAAAUGCGUAGAGAUUAGGAAGAACACCAGUGGCGAAGGCGACUUUCUGGACUGUAACUGACGCUGAGGCUCGAAAGCGUGGGGAGCAAACAGG